rnacentral:rRNA from 1 species
AACGAACGCUGGCGGCAUGCCUAACACAUGCAAGUCGAACGAGACCUUCGGGUCUAGUGGCGCACUGGUGCGUAACGCGUGGGAACCUGCCCUUAGGUUCGGAAUAACUCCCCGAAAGGGGUGCUAAUACCGGAUAAUGUCUUCGGACCAAAGAUUUAUCGCCUUUGGAUGGGCCCGCGUUGGAUUAGCUAGUUGGUAGUGUAAAAGACUACCAAGGCGACGAUCCAUAGCUGGUCUGAGAGGAUGAUCAGACACACUGGGACUGAGACACGGCCCAGACUCCUACGGGAGGCAGCAGUGGGGACUAUUGUACAAUGGGCGAAAGCCUGAUCCAGCAAUGCCGCGUGAGUGAUGAAGGCCUUAGGGUUGUAAAGCUCUUUUACCCGGGAUGAUAAUGACAGUAACGGGAGAAUGAGCUCGGGCUAACUCCGUG